rnacentral:rRNA from 1 species
GAUGAACGCCAGCGGCAGGCUUAAUACAUGCAAGUCGUGGGGCAGCAUGACUGUAGCAAUACAGUUGAUGGCGACCGGCAAACGGGUGCGGAACACGUACGCAACCUACCCAAAACUGGGGAAUAGCCCGGGGAAACCCGGAUUAAUACCUCGUAACAUAAUAAAGUGGCAUCACUAUAUUAUUAUAGCUCCGGCGGUUUUGGAUGGGCGUGCGCCAGAUUAGGUAGUUGGCGGGGUAACGGCCCACCAAGCCUUCGAUCAGUAACUGGUGUGAGAGCACGACCAGUCACACGGGCACUGAGACACGGGCCCGACUCCUACGGGAGGCAGCAGUAAGGAAUAUUGGUCAAUGGACGCAAGUCUGAACCAGCCAUGCCGCGUGGAGGAUGAAGGUCCUCUGGAUUGUAAACUUCUUUUAUCUGGGAAGAAAUCCAUUUUUUCUAAAGUGGUUGACGGUACCAGAUGAAUAAGCACCGGCUAACUCCGUGCCAGCAGCCGCGGUAAUACGGGA